GACGAACGCUGGCGGCGUGCCUAAUACAUGCAAGUAGAACGCUGAAGGAGGAGCUUGCUUCUCUGGAUGAGUUGCGAACGGGUGAGUAACGCGUAGGUAACCUGCCUGGUAGCGGGGGAUAACUAUUGGAAACGAUAGCUAAUACCGCAUAAUAGUAGAUGUUGCAUGACAUUUGCUUAAAAGGUGCAAUUGCAUCACUACCAGAUGGACCUGCGUUGUAUUAGCUAGUUGGUGGGGUAACGGCUCACCAAGGCGACGUUACAUAGCCGACCUGAGAGGGUGAUCGGCCACACUGGGACUGAGACACGGCCCAGACUCCUACGGGAGGCAGCAGUAGGGAAUCUUCGGCAAUGGACGGAAGUCUGACCGAGCAACGCCGCGUGAGUGAAGAAGGGUUUCGGAUCGUAAAGCUCUGUUGUAAGAGAAGAACGAGUGUGAGAGUGGAAAGUUCACACUGUGACGGUAUCUUACCAGAAAGGGACGGCUAACUACGUG
rnacentral:rRNA from 1 species